UACGUAGGGGGCAAGCGUUAUCCGGAAUUAUUGGGCGUAAAGAGCUCGUAGGCGGUUUGUCGCGUCUGCCGUGAAAGUCCGGGGCUCAACUCCGGAUCUGCGGUGGGUACGGGCAGACUAGAGUGAUGUAGGGGAGACUGGAAUUCCUGGUGUAGCGGUGAAAUGCGCAGAUAUCAGGAGGAACACCGAUGGCGAAGGCAGGUCUCUGGGCAGUAACUGACGCUGAGGAGCGAAAGCGUGGGGAGCGAACAGG
rnacentral:rRNA from 1 species